rnacentral:rRNA from 1 species
UGCAUCGAUGAAGAACGCAGCGAAAUGCGAUAAGUAGUGUGAAUUGCAGAAUUUAGUGAAUCAUCGAAUUUUUGAACGCAUAUUGCGCCCUUUGGUAUUCCAUUGGGCAUGCCUGUUCGAGCGUCAUAUGUAAAUCAAGCAUAGCUUGGUGUUGAGUAUUUGUCCUCUGGACUGACUUGAAAAACAUUGGCCACUCCUAUAUUAUGCAUAGUGCAGCACAUGUUACACUAUAGCCACUAUAUAUGUGUCCAAGAAGCCUACUUCUACUAGCUUGACCUCGGAUCAGGUAGGGAUACCCGCUGAACUUAAGCAUAUCAAUAAGCGGAGGA